AGCUCAGUUGGUAAAGUGUUUGCCUCGCAUGCACAAGGUCCUGGGUUCAAUUCCCAG
rnacentral:tRNA from 1 species